CCUACGGGAGGCUGCAGUGAGGAAUAUUGGUCAAUGGGCGCUAGCCUGAACCAGCCAAGUCGCGUGAAGGAUGACUGCCCUAUGGGUUGUAAACUUCUUUUAUAUGGGAAUAAAGUGCAGUAUGUAUACUGCUUUGCAUGUACCUUAUGAAUAAGGAUCGGCUAACUCCGUGCCAGCAGCCGCGGUAAUACGGAGGAUCCGAGCGUUAUCCGGAUUUAUUGGGGUUAAAGGGAGCGCAGGCGGCGUGUCAAGUCAGCGGUAAAAUGUCGGGGCUAAACCCCGGACGGCCGUUGAAACUGGCGUGAUCGAGUUGGAGAGAAGUAGGCGGAAGUCGUGGUGUAGCGGUGAAAUGCAUAGAGAUCACGAAGAACCCCGAUUGCGAAGGCAGCACACCGGCUCCAAACUGACGCUGAGGCACGAAAGCGUGGGUAGCGAACAGGAUUAGAUACCCUAGUAGUC
rnacentral:rRNA from 1 species